rnacentral:rRNA from 1 species
GUGUCAGCAGCCGCGGUAAAACGUAGGACGCGAGCGUUAUCCGGAGUUACUGGGCGUAAAGCGCGGGCAGGCGGUCUGUCAAGUGGGAUGUAAAAGCGCCCGGCUUAACCGGGCGAGGCCAUUCCAAACUGGCAGGCUGGAGGGCAGUAGAGGUAGGCGGAAUUCCGGGUGGAGUGGUGAAAUGCGUAGAGAUCCGGAGGAACACCAGAGGCGAAGGCGGCCUACUGGGCUGCACCUGACGCUGAGCCGCGAAAGCCAGGGGAGCGAACGGGAUUAGAAACCCCCGUAGUCC